CCAUUCUCAGGUGUGAGGUGGUGUCUCAGUGUAGUUUUAACUGGUGUCUCUUACAAAUAAAUGAUACAGAGCACUUCUUCGUGUCUUUGGCCCACCGGUGCGUCCUCUUUUUGGACACAGCCAGUCGAGUGUUUUUCCCCAAUUUUGUAUUGGAUUACUGCUUUUCGUUCUUGCUCAUUGCUUUCUGUACACUUUUUUUUUUCCAUCAAUUCCCUGUCAGGUGUGCGAUGUCCACAUAUUUCAUACCAACUGCUGGGUUACCUCUUGGUCCUUUGGUCGUUUCUCCCAAGGCCUAAAAACUAAAAAGCUUCCUAGCUGAGAGAAGACCCAGGUGUUUGUUUUUCCUGCAGUUUCCGUCACCAUGGGGUUGAGUGUCCAAAUGCCUCUCUCAUGUGAAGUCAGUUUGCCUGCGAUGUCUCCUUCUGGAUGUGUUAUGGCGUCCUGUUGAAUACCCAAGUCUUCAGCCCACCUCUUUCCCAGGGUGAGGGCCGUCUGUGGCAGGGUGGGGCGCUCUUGUGUGCACUGUGUGGAGCCUCAAUCUGUGUGGAGAAGGGUGACGCAGGCCGUGAGGUAUCUAUGCAGGUAUCUAUGCAGGGUUGUAGAUGUGCUGAGCUGUUUCUGAUGUCUCUGGACCUCUGAGCUGUUGGGGGCUAUGUCUCAGGAGUACAUUCUCUGUCCAGGCUCAGGAGCCUUUGGAAACCAGCAGGCAGGAUUAACCUGGACGUCUUCUCCUGGUUGGGUGCCAUCAGGGUGCCCACCUUAGUGUUGUAGCCAUGAAUCUUAGCAGACUGUGCAGGACCUGCGCCCUGGUGUCCUUCCCCGAGAAUUCCUGCACACCGGGUAUGUGCCUGGGGACUGGCGCACAUAAUGGAGCCACAGCAGAGGAGAAAACCGACCAGGUUCCUGAUUUCAUACUGUGGGUCACUAAGAACACAGCCCUCCGAUGGCAAGUGCUCUGCGGGAUAAAUCAUCUCUGUGGCUCUGUGACUACUGCACCAGGACCCACUGUAUCUAGUGGGCAUUUCUUUUUGAUAGUGAGAGAAAGACAGAUAGAGGAGGAGAGAGACCGAGAAGAAGACACAACCUUCACCACUGCUCCACUGCUUGUGAAACUUCCCCCUGCAGGUGGGGACUAGGUACAUGAAAUACAGCCCUUGCACUUAGGUCUUCUUUUAAAGGAACUCUUUUUUUAUUUUAUUUUAUUUUAUUUCAUUUAUUUAUUUAUUUAUUCCCUUUUGUUGCAGGUCUUCUUAAAAAAUAUAUAUAUGGGCAGGGGUAGAUAGCAUAAUGACUAUACAAAGAUAUUCUCAUGACUCCAAAGUCUUAAGUUCAAUCCCCUGUACCAACAUAAGCCAGAGCUGAAUAGUGCUCUGGUAAAUAUAUACAUAUAUAUGUGACACAGAGAGGAUGAUUGAGAGAGAGAGAGAGUUAUCAAAUCACCACUCCGCUGUAGCUUAUGGUGUUGUCAGGGGUUGAACUGGAACCUUGGAGCUUCAGGCAUGCCAUCAAUCUGCUCUUCACUACUUGAGCUAUUUCCCUGCCCUUAUUUAUGUCUUCUUUUAUUUCUUUUCUCAGCUUUUUUGCACUUGUCAGCACACAGACAAAAAGACAUGGGGUCUGCACUGUUUGGGGUAAAGCUAUUAGAGUUGAUAUGUGUGAAUGGUUUCUUUAUAGUUCUGUUACGUAAUUGUUCAUUGCUAGUAUGUAGGCAACUGUGUGUGUGUGUGUCCUGCAAUACCUGCUUUACUGGGAUUUUCUAUGAAAUCAGUCCUGUCACAUGUAUACUAGCACCGUUUUAUUCACUCCUCCCCAAGCUGUCAGCCGUGCAUUUCUUUUUUUGCAUUAGUAGAGUGGUUAGCAUUCCCAGUACACUGUUAAGUAGCAGUGCUGACAACAGACAUCCUGACUAUGUUCUGAAUCCUUCUAAGAAAGCUGUUUUUCUGCAUUAACUAGGAUGGAAAGUGUGGGUGGUUUUUUAACUAUUGGUUUUUCAUUUGCCACCAGCGCUAUGGCUGGAUCUAAUUACCUCACAAAGACUCCACUGCUCCUGGUAGCUAUUUGUUUUCUGGGAGAGAGAGACACACACACACAGGAGAGAGAGAUAGAGAGAGUAGGGAGAGACAGAAACAGAGAAAGGAAGAGAGAGACUCAAGUGUGUCAGCACUGCUACACUGCUCUUGUACUUUUCCUUCCUGUAGAUGGGAACUGGGGAGUCUUGAACCAGAAUCCUGGCACACAGUAAUAUGUCCACUCUACCAGGUGCACCACUGCCCACUAUCAAGUGUGGGUAUUUUUAAACUUUCUCUUCUUCUGUUUAUGAGUGGGAUCAUCCCAU